AUUGAACGCUGGCGGUAGGCUUAACACAUGCAAGUCGUGCGAGAAAGUAUCUUCGGAUAUGAGUAGAGCGGCGGACGGGUGAGUAACGCGUAGGAAUCUACCUAGUAGAAGGGGAUAGCCCGGGGAAACCCGGAUUAAUACCGUAUACCUCCUUCGGGAGAAAGAAGGCCUCUCUUUGAAGCUUUCGCUAUUAGAUGAGCCUGCGUAAGAUUAGCUUGUUGGUGAGGUAAAGGCUCACCAAGGCGACGAUCUUUAGCUGGUCUGAGAGGACGAUCAGCCACAUUGGGACUGAGACACGGCCCAGACUCCUACGGGAGGCAGCAGUGGGGAAUAUUGGACAAUGGGCGCAAGCCUGAUCCAGCCAUACCGCGUGUGUGAAGAAGGCCUUCGGGUUGUAAAGCACUUUAAGCAGGGAGAAAAAGUUAUAAGUUAAUACCUUAUAACCGUGAUGUUACCUGCAGAAUAAGCACCGGCUAAUUCCGUG
rnacentral:rRNA from 1 species